ACAGAGGGGGCAAGCGUUGUUCGGAGUUACUGGGCGUAAAGGGCGCGUAGGCGGCCUCCUAAGUCGAACGUGAAAUCCCCGGGCUUAACCCGGGAACUGCGUCCGAGACUGGGAGGCUUGAAUCCGGGAGAGGGAUGUGGAAUUCCAGGUGUAGCGGUGAAAUGCGUAGAUAUCUGGAGGAACACCGGUGGCGAAGGCAGCUCGCUGGGACGUUACUGACACUGAGGCGCGAAAGCGUGGGGAGCGAACAGGA
rnacentral:rRNA from 1 species